ACCUGGACGGUGGCCUGUGAAGGACAAUAGGCUUGCGGAGCGGAGGAAAGGUUUUGCAAGGAGUGGGAAGCAGCUGGUGUAACCAGAAGUCGGAGAGCGACCGGGUUGUGGAGCCAUGGCGGCAACCUCUGCGGUGUCGGUGCUGCUCUUGGCGGCAGAGAAGAACCGGUGGCUGCGAGUCCCGAGCCUGCUGCUGCCGCCGAGGAGAUGGACUUGGAGGCAGAGAACCGUGAAGUAUUCAACAACCACAGGACGAAACAUUGCCAAGGUCCUCAUUGCAAACAGAGGAGAAAUUGCCUGCAGGGUGAUACGAACAGCCAAAAAAAUGGGAAUACAGUCCGUGGCUGUUUAUAGUGAGGCCGACAAGAAUUCCAUGCAUGUAGACAUGGCAGAUGAAGCAUAUUCUAUUGGCCCCGCUCCCUCCCAGCAGAGCUACCUUUCUAUGGAGAAAAUCAUUCAAGUGGCCAAGAUCUCUGCUGCUCAGGCUAUCCAUCCAGGAUAUGGUUUUCUUUCAGAAAACAUGGAAUUUGCCGAACUCUGCAAACAAGAAGGAAUUAUUUUUAUAGGUCCUCCUUCAUCUGCAAUUAGAGACAUGGGUAUAAAGAGCACAUCCAAAUCCCUAAUGGCUGCUGCCGGAGUGCCUGUUGUGGAGGGAUAUCAUGGAGAGGACCAGUCGGAUCGGUGUCUGAGGGAGCAUGCGGGGAGAAUAGGUUAUCCUGUCAUGAUUAAAGCCGUCCGUGGUGGAGGAGGAAAAGGAAUGAGGAUCGUUAGAUCUGAAGAAGAAUUUCAAGAGCAGUUAGAAUCAGCACGGAGAGAAGCUAAGAAGUCUUUCAAUGAUGAUGCUAUGCUGAUUGAGAAGUUUGUGGACACGCCAAGGCACAUAGAAGUCCAGGUGUUUGGUGACUACCAUGGCAAUGCUGUAUACUUGUUUGAAAGAGAUUGUAGUAUACAGAGGAGACAUCAGAAGAUCAUUGAGGAAGCCCCAGGGCCUGGUAUUAACUCUGAUGUAAGAAAAAAGCUUGGAGAAGCUGCAGUCAGAGCUGCUAAAGCAGUAAAUUAUGUUGGAGCAGGAACUGUGGAGUUUAUUAUGGACUCCAAGCACAAUUUCUACUUCAUGGAGAUGAAUACAAGGCUGCAAGUGGAACACCCUGUUACUGAGAUGAUCACAGGAACUGACUUGGUGGAGUGGCAGCUUAGGAUUGCAGCAGGAGAGAAGAUUCCUUUGAGCCAAGAAGAAAUAACCCUGCAGGGCCAUGCCUUUGAAGCUAGAAUAUAUGCAGAAGAUCCUGACAAUAACUUCAUGCCUGGAGCUGGGCCUUUAGUGCAUCUCUCCACCCCUCAGGCAGACCUUUGCACCAGGAUUGAAACUGGAGUGCGUCAAGGAGAUGAAGUUUCAGUGCAUUAUGACCCCAUGAUUGCGAAAUUGGCUGUGUGGGCAGCAGAUCGCCAGGCGGCCUUAACGAAACUGAGGUACAGCCUUCGUCAGUACAACAUUGUCGGACUGCACACCAACAUUGACUUCCUUCUUAGCCUGUCUGGCCACCCAGAGUUUGAGGCUGGGAACAUACACACCGAUUUCAUCCCUCAACACCGCAAAGAACUGUUGCCCAGUCGGAAGGCCACAGCCAAAGAGCUUUUAUGCCAGGCAGCUCUGGGUUUCAUCCUCAAGGAGAAAGCUAUGUCUGAUGUUUUCAAAAUUCAGUCACAAGAUCGGUACUCCCCUUUUGCAUCCAGCAGUGGAAGAAGACUGAAUACCUGUUACACCAGAAACAUAACUCUCAGGGAUGGUAAAAAGAUUUCAGGUGUACGAUAUAGUGAUCCAGCAAUUCCAUAUAUUACCCAGUGCUCAUCAAGAUAAGUACACUCUUAAUCUCCUUCAUCUGUUUCACCCAUCCCCCCCAUCCACCUCCCCUCUGGUAACCAUCAGUUCUCUAUAGUUAAGAGUCUGCUAAAAGUCCAUUUUUUAAGAAACAAAAGUUUGAAAUUCACUUUUAUUGGAACUUACCUAUAGAUUUUUAAAAAUCUUGUCAGGGAGUUAAAAGAUGUUGGUAUCCCUAAAGGCUGGUUAUCUUUAGCUUGAAAGAGAUUUUUAGAAUCCCCGUCUAUGAUUGUCUUCUAAUUUUUCUUCAAUUUUCCCCCCUUUUUCAUAAAGAUGUAGCCAUAGCUGUCACAUAUAACCUCGAUGGGUCAUAUAGCAUGCAGAUUCAAGAUAAAACUUUCCAAGUCCUUGGUGAUCUUUGUAAUGAGGGAGACUGCACUUACCUGAAAUGUUCUGUUAAUGGAGUUUCUAGUAAAACUAAGCUAAUUAUCCUGGAAAACACUAUUUACCUAUUUUCCAUGACGGGAAGUACUCAGAUUGACAUUCCAGUCCCCAAAUACUUGUCUUCAAUGAGCUCAGAUGGAACUCAGGAAGGUGCCAUAGCUCCUAUGACGGGUACCAUUGAAAAGGUAUUUGUGAAAGUCGGAGACAAAGUAAAAGCUGGAGAUUCUCUAAUGGUUAUGAUUGCCAUGAAAAUGGAGCUUACCAUAAAGGCCCCAAAGGACGGCACAAUCAAGAAAGUGUUCUACAAAGAAGGUUCUCAGGCCAACAGACAUGUUCCUUUAAUCGAGUUUGAGGAAGAGGAAUCGGACAAAAGAGAAGCAGAAUAAAUGCCAUCAAAGAAAUGUCCAAUUAAGCAGUAUCUUAAAUAUAGUAUCUGUACACCAAAAAGAGAAAGUGCCUUCCUGCUUUUCUCAGAGUCUAAUAAACAUCAGUUUUACUAAAUGAUUGUACAAUUAGGCUAAUAUUUGAGAAUCAUGUACUUGGGUCACAAACACAAUAAAUUAUCUAUUUCAUACUAAUAAAUUGAAUUAUAUUUUUUUA